AUUCUCUACAAUUUCAAAGAAGGUGUCUUCAUAAACACCCUCGAUUUCGUUCUCUUUUUCUCUCCUCUUUCAACAUUUUAUCUUCGUGUUAGAUCUAAAAAUUUCAAGCGAAAAUGAAGGAAUUUCAAUCCACACCGGUCAAGCUGAUAUCCAGGUCGAAAAUUCUUGCUGGUAGCUUUACUGUCUCGAGCAUGGUAUUCAGAAAACGUCAUUUGAACAACAGAUGAUAAUUGCUAGAAAUAUCCAGAAAGGUCCAGCCAACCAAGUGAUAAGAUUGUGAGUUAUACAUUCCCCCGUUUAUAUAUCUCGGCAUAUAUGGAAAUUCAGCACACGGUAAUAACAGGGAUUUCAUCUCCUUAUACAAAUUCAGUUAAGAUGGGUUUUUUCCGGAUAAGGUUUGAGACUUGAACUUUUUCCCCCUUGAUUAUCUUCCCUUCGAAGUUAGGUUCUUGGUAUUUGGUUGAGCUGUAAAAUCAGAAUGCAGGAUAUACUCAUAACGUUCUUUCGAGAUAGUUUUUAUCAGUGCACUAAAAAUGAGAGAGCGAGUGAUAGUAUAUCAGAUAUAGAUCAGUGUUUGUCUUCGUUUUUUUUUUGUUUUUUUACCCUUUUAACAUGUAACGACCAAAUCUAGUCGAAUUUCAUGUACUCAUUACGUAAAUUUACUUUGGUUAUUUAUCGUGUACUCAUUACGUAAAUUUACUUUGGUUAUUUUGUCCUCAGAUUUUGCCCGCCCCAAUUUUAUGCUCUCUGAACAAGCUUCAUUUUCUUGUUUUAUGAAUUUGACUUGUUCUGUUGUCAAACUUUUAGUUCAGUUUUGUACCUUAGUUUUUCCUUUUGAUUACCGAAGUCUGAACUGCAGCUUUAUCUUAGUCUUGAAUGGUCUUGUGCUUUUUGCUUAUGUAAUUGUGUUCUUAGCUUAAUGUGUAUAAAUUGUAGGCACUAUAGGUUAUCCGUGAGCUUAAGCAGAAAUUAAAAGUUCAUUUCAAAACUCUCUUUUUCCCGUAAUAAACUAAUUUCAACUGAUAUAUAGUCCUGCAUAUGUAACUAAAUUGAUACACAGGAAUGGCUCAACUGUCACUAUACUCUUUUUCUUAUCUAUGUUCUUCGUUGCAAGUACUUGACCAACGAGUUGCUUGAGGCUCCUUCAUUUCUUAUAGAAUUGUGUGGCUGUGUCACAACUGUAAAUCACAGUAUUCUUAUAUAUAACAGAUGUAUUCUUAUAGAAUUGUGUGGUUGACAGCUGCGUAAAUGACUAAAAUUUAUUUUUCAAUUGUUCAAAUUUAGGAACAUAUUUACAUAAUAUCUGCAAUCAAAUGUACAUAAUGCAUAGAUCUUCUCUGGGAGUUUGGGGUUUAUUUAUUUUACUCUAUGCAUUAUCUAUAGUAUGUUUUUGACUGGUUCAUCUAGCUAUUCUUGUUUCUUGAGGUUUUAUGUUUUUUAUUCCACUAUUUGCAUUUUUCAAGAGAUUAGUAUGAAGAUAUUGAGUUGCUUAACUUGCUUUGUACGUUUCACCAGGAGUUAAAUCAAAGAGAGCAAGAAGACUCUUUAGAUGAAGGUCUCCUUUCAGAAGUCAAUGCACAACUACGGCAAGCGAAAGAAGAUGUGGACAAUCCAGGAAGAGAGGAUGACCCUUUUUUUCACGAGUAGUAAGAGAGGAAGAGCGUCAAGGAACAAAAUGUUGCCGCUUAAGUGUUGUCCCUCCCUUUUGUAAAAAUAGAAUUGUAGAUUCAAAGAUUAUUUUUGUGUGAAUUUAUAUUGUAAAAUUACAUUAAACAGUAUUAUUUCAAUAUUAAUGUGAAUGAAGU